rnacentral:tRNA from 1 species
GCUCGUUUGGUGAAAAAGGUAAACACGAUGGAUUUAAAAUCUGUUCUCAUUCUGGAGUUGUCGGUUCGAGUCCGAUAGCGAGUA